rnacentral:rRNA from 1 species
CUCGUCAAUUCCUUCGAGUUUCACACUUGCGUGCGUACUCCCCAGGCGGGAUACUUAACGCGUUAGCUACGGCACUGUCCGGGUCGAUACAGACAACACCUAGUAUCCAUCGUUUACGGCUAGGACUACUGGGUGUUGUCUGUAUCGACCCGGACAGUGCCGUAGCUAACGCAUUAAGCACUCCGCCUGGGGAGUACGACCGCAAGGUUGAAACUCAAAGGAAUUGACGGGACCCGCACAAGCGGUGGAGCAUGUGGUUUAAUUCGAAGCAACGCGAAGAACCUUACCAAAUCUUGACAUCCU